UUUCUAAUAAAUUUCUUUAAAAUCCAAAUUUAAAAUUUUCUUAAUUAAACUAAACUUGAA
rnacentral:tRNA from 1 species